GCGACGAUGAAGCGAUCAUCAGACACCAUCCUCCAUCGCAUUUCGUCGUUAAACUCUAAGAUUUAACCGCGAGAGGAGGAAGGGGUUUGCCUCCUCCAGAUCUGAGUUUCGGACUACCUCUAUCCAUUUCUAGCCACUGGUUCAUUUUCUCAUCUCCGCCAGACCUGCUGCCACAGGCCGCUUCCUCAUCAUCGCUGGAGCUACAAAAGCCAUUGAAGUUCCUUCUUAGGAAGCCGGAUGUGAAACCACGAUUAAUCAUAUGGAUGCUUCCGCUCCAAGAAUUCGAUAUAGAGAUACGUCAUAGGAGAGAGAAGGAGAGCAUGGUGGCUAAUCACCUGAGCAAAAUGAAGAGGAGUGUUGAGCUUACACCGAUAGUAGAUUCUUUUCCGUAUGAGCAACUUUUACAGCUGCAAGGUUUGGCUUACCCAAGGCGAUCAUUAGCGAUCAAAGGCCCCACUUCUGCAAUAGACAAAUGAAGAUUCUACUUAGCAAAUAUGGUGUUAUGCAUAGAAUAUCUACUCCCUAUCAUCAUCAAACAAAUGGACAAGCAGAGGUUUUGAAUAGGGAGAUUAAGCAGAUCUUUGAAAAAUAAUAAGGCCAGACAGGAAAUAUUGGAGGAUGCUUUGUGGGCUUAUUGAGCUACUUUUAAGUCACCAAUUGGAAUGUCAUCAUACAGAAUGUUUUUCGGUAAAGCUUACCACUUGCCAAUAGAGAUAGAGCACAAAGCAUAUUAGACGGUGAAGACUUGUAAUAUGGGCAUGGAUCAAGCUUGGAUUGAGUGAAAAUUAUAGUUGCAAGAAUUGGAGGAGCUUCGGCUCGAAGCCUAUGAGAACUCCAGAAUUUACAAGGAGAAAAUAAAUAUUUAUCGUGAAAAGCAUGAUCUUACGAAAGGAGUUUCAAAUAGGUGACAAGGUGCUGGUAUAUAAUUCUCAUCUCCGACUCAUCCAUGGUAAGUUGAGAUCUAGGUGGGAAGGUCCUUUUUGUGUUACUCAUGUUUUUCCCUAUGGUGUGGUAGAGAUAUAAGAGAUUCCUAAUGGAAGGAUUUUUCAAGGUGAAUGAGCACCAUCUAAAGAAGUUUUAUGAAGGAGUUGAAGAGACGAUGGUGGAAAGAGUGAAACCUCACGAUCCUAUCUAUCCGAUUUAAGAGGAGUUUGUUCCUUUUCUUUUCUUUUGUUUUUUUACAUAUAUCUGUUUAUUUUUGCUUGUUUGGGUAAAUAGUUUUGUUUCAUUUGGUUUUGAAUAAAAUGCCUCCAUGAGUGUCUUCAUAGUGUCUUGAGAAUCGUAAGGGUAGUUAAAUUUGACCAUCAAAUUUUGGAUAUUGUUAUACAAAUGAAUCUCUUAUUUGCACUUGAUCAUGUGUAUGAUGAUGGAUUCGAACUUGAGAGAUUGAGUAUGUUUGACAAAAUUUACUAGUAAAACCACCUUCG